rnacentral:rRNA from 1 species
CCUACGGGGGGCUGCAGUGGGGAAUAUUGCACAAUGGGCGCAAGCCUGAUGCAGCCAUGCCGCGUGUGUGAAGAAGGCCUUCGGGUUGUAAAGCACUUUCAGCGGGGAGGAAGGCGUUAAGGUUAAUAACCUUGUCGAUUGACGUUACCCGCGGAAGAAGCACCGGCUAACUCCGUGCCAGCAGCCGCGGUAAUACGGAGGGUGCAAGCGUUAAUCGGAAUUACUGGGCGUAAAGCGCACGCAGGCGGUCUGUCAAGUCGGAUGUGAAAUCCCCGGGCUCAACCUGGGAACUGCAUUCGAAACUGGCAGGCUAGAGUCUUGUAGAGGGGGGUAGAAUUCCAGGUGUAGCGGUGAAAUGCGUAGAGAUCUGGAGGAAUACCGGUGGCGAAGGCGGCCCCCUGGACAAAGACUGACGCUCAGGUGCGAAAGCGUGGGGAGCAAACAGGAUUAGAUACCCCAGUAGUC